UAUGGCAGAGAAACUUGCUGUUUGGUUGGCAGACUGCCUAUGUAUCAGACGUAUGGAAAGGCGUGCUAUAAUGAUGGAAGAAAGGAAGAAUGGAAGCAUGGGAAACGGAUUGAUUUGUCCGUCUCGGUUUCUAACAAAUUUUAUGAACUGUGGAUAGAUCAACUGUGAUAUAUUAAGAGUGGUAGACAGUAGCAAGUGAAAUAUACAACUACAAAGUACGAGGAAAGGGAUGGGCCUGGGAUUGCCAUUGGACCACCAAUCCCGUCAGUUUAAUCUAGCGAGCAUGUGCGGCCCGAUAUACUGUUUAUGCAAGUUACAAGUUACUGUUAUAAGGACACCCUGGUACCGCCCGAGUGGGGUCAAACAACGUUCGAUGAGUUGGCCAAGUGUGGCGUCCGUGGACAGUUCGUACCGCACCGGAGCGCAAUGCACGAAAUAAAAAAGGACCAAUUGCUACAGGUCAUCAAAUGGGCAAACGAGCUGAUUCCGGAACCCCGAGAGCCAUCACCAUCUCCAUCGCCUCCGCCUGAGCCGGCCAAGAAGACUGUACCUGCCAAAAGGGGAAAACUGUGAUAGAGAUACUGCAAGCUGAGGAUGACUGAUCGGUCCCGUUUUGUUUAUUUUGAAGAGAAUGAUUCGGAGUUCUUUUGUUUUUGGAUGACAAACGCAGGGUGGAAAAAGAGAUUUAGUUCAUUUGAAACGGUUAUCAGCAAGUUGAACUUGUAUAAAGAGUUAAGCUAUUACCGUC